UGCUGGAGUAGAGGAUAGAGAGGAUGGGUUGCUAACCAUGGUUCUAGAGCUGGAUGGAGAGGGGCAGGGGAGCUCCAUUACUUUUCACUGUUGAAGGAAUGAAAGCUUACUGUCCAAACCAGCGGGGUAGCUUUCACGCUAGCAACCUUGGGAAAAACUGCCCUGCUGAAAGAACAGACCAUUGCUUCAAUCCUAGAACAACUUUUUUUAAACCAUCUCAUGACUGUAUCCCCAUCUACUGGCCAUAAUGGGUUAUUGCAUACCGUCUGAGGGGCUGAUGGAUCGUGAUGAAGCCACAUUAUAGAUGGCCUGGAGAUGCUUUUGUCAGACUAAAGCCUCUGUCGUUUGAUGGGGAGUCCACAAUUGGAAACAUGUAUGGAGCCAGCACAUGGAGACCUGUAAGAUAAUGUGAUGAAGUCCAGACUGACAGACGGGCUUGAUACUGAUGUCUGAAUGACACAACUUGUAUUUGUAUUGUCUUUUUUUAUUAUUAAAUCUAAUGGUAUCAGUCAA